GACAUCGGGAAAUCUUCGGGUAGGCUAUGGUAAAAAUAAGUUAUGCAAAUCUGGUAAGAUCAGAUGAGGUAAAGUGAAUAACCGGAAUAAGUGACUCAACGUGUAUAAUACAAUAUAAGAUAUGAUUUGGCUGUUCUAUUCUGUUAGUAAAAUAUAGUGAUCGAAGGGCUAUUAAAUAGGUAGCGGGGAUAUAUAAAUUGCGUUGGAGUUCGCAGAUAAAUAAAUAUAAAUGAUUAAAAAAAUACCUAAUGGUGGUUCCGGGUGGUCAGUGUAUCGCCAAUGCCAAGAGAAAAAAAAAGGUACUUACUUUGCAUGAUUAUUAGUAUACUAUAGUACCUAUAGCUAAGGUACCUACUGUUCCUAUUUUUAACUAUUCGGUUGUGCCCAUUUAAUAAAUCUACAACUCGCUAUGAAAUUGCCAAAGUGAUUCAAGUACAGUACAAAUAAAACUUUCUCACUACACAGAACCGACGUUAUGAAAUAUUGAUAAUAACUCGUGGUUUUCAAAUUUGAAUUAUGU